rnacentral:rRNA from 1 species
GACAGAGGGUGCGAACGUUGUUCGGAAUUACUGGGCGUAAAGCGCAUGUAGGCGGCAGCGCAAGUCGGGCGUGAAAUCCCACGGCUCAACCGUGGAAGUGCACUCGAAACUGCGCAGCUAGAGUCCUGGAGAGGAAGGUGGAAUGCUUGGUGUAGAGGUGAAAUUCGUAGAUAUCAAGCGGAACACCGGUGGCGAAGGCGGCCUUCUGGACAGUGUACUGACGGCUGAGAGUGCAAAGCGAUGGG